rnacentral:lncRNA from 1 species
UUUGGAUUUCACCCAAAACCCACCAAAUGACCCCUCCCACAAUAUUAUGAUGUUCCCCAAGUUUUGGACGCAAUUCGAUAUCGAUUGGUCAAUGAAAUCAGACAAUUCAGGUUCGUACGAAGUUCGUUCUAAAAUGGAGUGGUUGGUUUAUUGUACAGUUCUGGGGAUUGGAUAUCACUCAAAAACCAUCAAAUGAGUCCUCCCACAAUAUUAUGAUGUUCCCCAAGUUUUGGACACAAUCCGAUAUUGAUUGGUC